rnacentral:rRNA from 1 species
CUACGGGGUGCAGCAGUGAGGAAUAUUGAACAAUGGGGGGAACCCUGAUGCAGCAACGCCGCGUGGAGGAUGACGCAUUUCGGUGUGUAAACUCCUUUUAUAUGUCAAGAAAAUGACGGUAGCAUAUGAAUAAGCACCGGCUAACUCCGUGGCCAGCAGCCGCGGUAAUACGGAGGGUGCAAGCGUUACUCGGAAUCACUGGGCGUAAAGGACGCGUAGGCGGGUUGGAAAGUCAGGUGUGAAAUCCUACAGCUUAACUGUAGAACUGCACUUGAAACUUCUAAUCUAGAGUAUGGGAGGGGGAGAUGGAAUUAGUGGUGUAGGGGUAAAAUCCGUAGAUAUCACUAGGAAUACCUAAAGCGAAGGCGAUCUCCUGGAACAUUACUGACGCUAUGGCGUGAAAGCGUGGGGAGCAAACAGGAUUAGAUACCCCAGUAGUC